rnacentral:lncRNA from 12 species
CCCAGCUGUCUGGAUCACAGGAAAUGGAACCUAAGAUCUUUGACUCAUCAGCUCUAUUCUACUCCCAUUGAUCUAACGCUUAAUUAAUAACAUGGCAAUAACGUAUGUCCUGAACCUAUCACCACUCACAGCCACCCUAUUCUCUCUUCCCCACUCCAGUCGCCAGGAUACAGGAAGCACUGAUUGGUCAACUACUUCUCUUAACCAUUACCAUGGAUGUGAUUUCAAAUUGGUGCAAGCUGGAUUUAUGCCUAAGCAAGAUGGCAGGAAGGGCAGCCACACACCAAGAAAGAGACUGAGCCUAUUGUACUGUGUUUUUGAAAUGAUCAAAUGAAAGUAUGAAAAAUCUGGAAGCCAUAUAGGUAACAAAUGGCUGAAGGUACAGAUGGAGCUCAGAUGAAACCUCUUUUCGAACUCUGGAGAUGUUGCCAUGUGAAAGAAGUAGCAAAGACAUUGUUGUGGUUCCCUGGAUAGGGUGUAAAUUCAGUAGAAGGAGGUAUUUCCUCACAAAGAAAAGCCACCCAAUGCUGGAGGCAAGACCCUGAUUCUUAAGGUAGGAGUUCCUCAUCAUGACAGGUACUUAAGCUGAAGUUCCAUGACUAUUUUAGAAGACACUUGUAUUAUAAGGGAAAAGUUGGAAUAGAACUUUAUCACUCUUUCAACUCUGGUUCUAAGAUGUAUGCAGAACCAACUCUCACAGAGUAGUUUCUACGGUCUCAUUUUAUAUGGACUAUCCCAUAUAACUCCCACAGCACUUAUAAGGUGAAUACAGUGGUUAUGUUUUGUUUUACAUUACUGCUCCCUCUGCUUGGAAUAUGCUUGCCUAAGUUAUUGUGUGGCUCCCUCCCUUCACAAUAUUCUGGUCUUCUCUGUGUUUUAGCUCUUCCAAGAACCUUUCUUCUCUGCUCUUUGUAAUAUUGCCAUCCCUUCCCUCAACUCUCAAUCCCUUUCUCUGCUUUAUUUGACUCUAUGCCACUUAACAGUAUCUAAAAUUAUGUUACAAGUAGAUCCAUUUAUCUUCUGUCUCCUCUAUGAGAACAGAAGGACUUGGUUGCUUUUGUGUAGUGCUCCAUCCCCAGCAUUUGAAAUCAAGGUUGUGGCACAUAGCAGAGCAUAUGUGUGGAAUGAAUACAUGAAUCUGUUUUACAGAUGAAGGAACUGAGGCAUUGAAGAGGUGAAGCAAAAUCCCCAAGGUUACACAGUGAGUAAAUAUCCAGCGAGUGCUCAAGGAUUUGAAUAAUAUGGUUCCAGAGUCCACACAUGUAACUCCUAUACUCCAUUUGAUUGUUUGAAGAAAUCCUUAAAAAUUCAAUGGCUGCCUCUGGUCCGUUACCUCUUGUUUUAUUACUUCAGACGACUAGUGCCUAUAAGCCGGUGGCCGCUCGUUCCCUCCAACAUAGUGUCAAAAAGUCCAAUGAAAGGGCAGAGAGCAAAAGUGAGAUGGCACAAGGCCACUUUUACCUCACUGACCUUCUGCCUGUAUAAUGAUUUGGUGAGCGGAGCAGGUGAGUCAGAGGGGGACAGUGAACAGCCUGGCAGUCACCUGGUCCUAAUCUGUCCAUGGGUGGAUAUAUUGACUCUGACACUGGUCGCAUACCUGGGGUCCUCAAAAUGAAAUUUGCAAACUCAGAGCAGAUUCCUUGCCUCUCCAUUUGAUUUGAAGGGGCUGAAUUUAUUAUGUUCCCUGUUUCCUCCCUCUGGGUAGGGCUUGGAUUUUUCCAUGACAAAAAUCAUAUUGAUUUGAAUAUUAACAGGUCAUAAAAGAGAGUCAACAUUAGCUUUCGUAGUUAAUGAAAAAGAAUACAGAUCUGAAAAUCAGACACACUUCAAUUAAAAUUCAAGUUAGUUACUCUCUGGGCACUUCAAUUUUCUUACCUGAAAAAUAGGAACUAAGCCUUCCCACAUGGUCUUUGUAAGGAUUAGCUGAGAAAACAUAAAGGACGACAUCUGGCAUUGAUUUUGUCUUUAAGUGUCAGACCAUUGUUUCCCUGCUAGCUGCCUUCUACUCUUUCUGUGACUGGAUACGGAAAAGAGCGUUAUCAGAAGGAGAUACUGGGGUUGAAUCCAAAGUAGCAAAAUCAAAUUAGGAAAAUCAAAAAAAGGACAUUUCAGUUCACUGAUGCCAGAAAAGUACUACAUUUGUGUGUUGUCUGUCUGCACCCUAAGCUCUUUGGGUCAAGCUCUGAAUCUUCCUGCUUGAGUCCUCGGCUAUCUAUACCCUAGCUCACAGGGAGGUAGCUCACUAUGGCUUCAAAAUGCAGAGCUAAGAGAGGGCUGGAGGAGGAACCUUCAUAACCACAGCCUGCCUUGGCCAUGCCUUCUCCUGGACCCUGCAGUGGGAAGUGAGAACAUUUUUGCUAGGUUAGAUAUUUUCAAGGGCCCAACUGGGCCUGUGGAUCUGCCAGAAAAUUCCUUCUGUUUCAGGUGGAUAAAAGCCUUGUGCCCAGCUGUUUUAAGCUCAACCUAAUAAGUUCUCUCUUGGGGUGACCAUUGUUUUUCAGCUUAAAAAUCAUCUUUAUUCACACAGUAGUAUCAGAUUCCAAUGGAUGCCUCUUACUAACAAGGCACAUGAAAUAUUUGCUUAUAAAAUAUGAUACAUAAAAUACACUGAGAAAUAUGUCUAUGAAGUGAAGUGUGCAUAUAUUGCUACCACUAAACUUUUGCACCUACCUCUGACCAUUACUGGGACCUACUGGAGUCUAAUACAAAGUCCUAUGCAGUUGUAUUGGGUUGUUCCUAUGGGAGGAUAAGAAAAUACAUCUUACAUAUUUCUAGCAAGAAGUAGGCUCCACUUCUUUUUGAAGUUCAUAAUACAGGAAGAGGUGUUCAAAGGUGCAGGGUGAACAGAAAGAUUAUGUUCACUCUUGGAGUGCUUUAAAAUAAAUGUGAACUUCUACACA